UACAGAGGUGCGAGCGUUGUCCGGAAUCACUGGGCGUAAAGGCGCGUAGGCGGCCUGGUAAGUAGGGGGUGAAAUCUUGCGGCUCAACUGCAAGGCUGCCUCCUAAACUGCCGGGCUGGAGCACGGUAGAGGCAGAUGGAAUUCCCGGUGUAGCGGUGGAAUGCGUAGAGAUCGGGAAGAACAUCGGUGGCGAAGGCGGUCUGCUGGGCCGUUGCCUGACGCUGAGGGCGACGACAGCGUGGGGAGCAAACAGG
rnacentral:rRNA from 1 species